CAUCAUAAUUUUUAUGGAGAGUUUGAUCCUGGCUCAGGAUGAACGCUGGCGGCGUGCCUAAUACAUGCAAGUCGAGCGAACGGACGAGAAAGCUUGCUUCUCUGAUGUUAGCGGCGGACGGGUGAGUAACACGUGGAUAACCUACCUAUAAGACUGGGAUAACUUCGGGAAACCGGAGCUAAUACCGGAUAAUAUUUUGAACCGCAUGGUUCAAAAGUGAAAGACGGUCUUGCUGUCACUUAUAGAUGGAUCCGCGCUGCAUUAGCUAGUUGGUAAGGUAACGGCUUACCAAGGCAACGAUGCAUAGCCGACCUGAGAGGGUGAUCGGCCACACUGGAACUGAGACACGGUCCAGACUCCUACGGGAGGCAGCAGUAGGGAAUCUUCCGCAAUGGGCGAAAGCCUGACGGAGCAACGCCGCGUGAGUGAUGAAGGUCUUCGGAUCGUAAAACUCUGUUAUUAGGGAAGAACAUAUGUGUAAGUAACUGUGCACAUCUUGACGGUACCUAAUCAGAAAGCCACGGCUAACUACGUGCCAGCAGCCGCGGUAAUACGUAGGUGGCAAGCGUUAUCCGGAAUUAUUGGGCGUAAAGCGCGCGUAGGCGGUUUUUUAAGUCUGAUGUGAAAGCCCACGGCUCAACCGUGGAGGGUCAUUGGAAACUGGAAAACUUGAGUGCAGAAGAGGAAAGUGGAAUUCCAUGUGUAGCGGUGAAAUGCGCAGAGAUAUGGAGGAACACCAGUGGCGAAGGCGACUUUCUGGUCUGUAACUGACGCUGAUGUGCGAAAGCGUGGGGAUCAAACAGGAUUAGAUACCCUGGUAGUCCACGCCGUAAACGAUGAGUGCUAAGUGUUAGGGGGUUUCCGCCCCUUAGUGCUGCAGCUAACGCAUUAAGCACUCCGCCUGGGGAGUACGACCGCAAGGUUGAAACUCAAAGGAAUUGACGGGGACCCGCACAAGCGGUGGAGCAUGUGGUUUAAUUCGAAGCAACGCGAAGAACCUUACCAAAUCUUGACAUCCUUUGACAACUCUAGAGAUAGAGCCUUCCCCUUCGGGGGACAAAGUGACAGGUGGUGCAUGGUUGUCGUCAGCUCGUGUCGUGAGAUGUUGGGUUAAGUCCCGCAACGAGCGCAACCCUUAAGCUUAGUUGCCAUCAUUAAGUUGGGCACUCUAAGUUGACUGCCGGUGACAAACCGGAGGAAGGUGGGGAUGACGUCAAAUCAUCAUGCCCCUUAUGAUUUGGGCUACACACGUGCUACAAUGGACAAUACAAAGGGCAGCGAAACCGCGAGGUCAAGCAAAUCCCAUAAAGUUGUUCUCAGUUCGGAUUGUAGUCUGCAACUCGACUACAUGAAGCUGGAAUCGCUAGUAAUCGUAGAUCAGCAUGCUACGGUGAAUACGUUCCCGGGUCUUGUACACACCGCCCGUCACACCACGAGAGUUUGUAACACCCGAAGCCGGUGGAGUAACCUUUUAGGAGCUAGCCGUCGAAGGUGGGACAAAUGAUUGGGGUGAAGUCGUAACAAGGUAGCCGUAUCGGAAGGUGCGGCUGGAUCACCUCCUUUCUA
rnacentral:rRNA from 1 species